GAUGAACGCUGGCGGCGUGCCUAAUACAUGCAAGUCGAGCGAACGGACGAGAAGCUUGCUUUUCUGAUGUUAGCGGCGGACGGGUGAGUAACACGUGGAUAACCUACCUAUAAGACUGGGAUAACUUCGGGAAACCGGAGCUAAUACCGGAUAAUAUUUUGAACCGCAUGGUUCAAAAGUGAAAGACGGUCUUGCUGUCACUUAUAGAUGGAUCCGCGCUGCAUUAGCUAGUUGGUAAGGUAACGGCUUACCAAGGCAACGAUGCAUAGCCGACCCGAGAGGGUGAUCGGCCACACUGGAACUGAGACACGGUCCAGACUCCUACGGGAGGCAGCAGUAGGGAAUCUUCCGCAAUGGGCGAAAGCCUGACGGAGCAACGCCGCGUGAGUGAUGAAGGUCUUCGGAUCGUAAAACUCUGUUAUUAGGGAAGAACAUAUGUGUAAGUAACUGUGCACAUCUUGACGGUACCCAAUCAGAAAGCCACGGCUAACUACGUG
rnacentral:rRNA from 1 species